AGGCAUGGGAAACGGGAGUAGGAAUGUGACGUGGGGGACAGGAUAACUGCCUCCAGCUCAGUGGAGAUGAAAGAAAAGAGGAGAGAAAAAGAACCACAAGAGAAAGCCAGUUCUGAACUGCAACUGCCUCCCAAGAGUCAGGAUCCUGGACCUCCCACGACCUGUAGAACAUCAACUUUGAGUCACAAGGACAUGAGUAUUCAAAUAAAUACAUGGCAUGGUACAUGUUGGGGAAAUAGUAGCUACAGAGUCUUCUGAGUAGAUCCAGCCUUUGCCCACCGCUAAAUAAUCAGAUCCAGGGAAGCAUCAAAAGUCAAAGAAAGGAUGAAGAGAAGUUGCUUCCAGCAACAGUGGGUGGGGCUUUCCAUUUAAAUUCUGCCUUCAACUUCCAAAAAAUAUCCUCUUGGGAAACUUAUUACUCAUGAAAAUGAAGAGAAGGUGUUUUCCUCCAUGGAGCAAUCUCUGCCUUGAAAAGUCUCCAUCCCUCUUCCUAGCCCAGAGAGAUGAUCCCACAAGGAAGUGGAUUUUGUUGCUUAAUCCUAGUUAACUGAAUUCUGUUUUCCCACAAUAAAAUAAUAAAAGUAAUUUGGAAUAGCAUAACCUGAAUGUUCAUAUUUCCACAGCCUGUGAUUAAAAAUUAGAAAUAAAAAAUCUUGAAAUUC
rnacentral:lncRNA from 1 species